rnacentral:tRNA from 1 species
GGGCAGUUACCAAAGUGGUCAAAUGGGACUGACUGUAAAUCAGUUGCGCGAGCUUCGGAGGUUCGAAUCCUCCACUGCCCA